UACGUAGGGUGCAAGCGUUAAUCGGAAUUACUGGGCGUAAAGCGUGCGCAGGCGGCUUUGCAAGACAGAUGUGAAAUCCCCGGGCUCAACCUGGGAACUGCAUUUGUGACUGCACAGCUGGAGUGCGGCAGAGGGGGAUGGAAUUCCGCGCGUAGCAGUGAAAUGCGUAGAUAUGCGGAGGAACACCGAUGGCGAAGGCAAUCCCCUGGGCCUGCACUGACGCUCAUGCACGAAAGCGUGGGGAGCAAACAGG
rnacentral:rRNA from 1 species